GCCAGCUUGUCGACUCUCUAAUCCUUGGCCGCGCUUCUCUCAGUGUGCAAGUGGAGCUGUCUCUGGCAGGUGUUCUGUCCUCUGUCCCAUCUUUACACGUCUGCUUUUUCGACUGUCACGCAAUUUCGUUUUAUACUCCAGAAAGUGAGAGAUUAACUUCAAGGAAGCGCAAAUUCACGGCCAUACACGAAAAUGAUGAUGCAGUGGACAAGUGUUGUGGUGUUGGUAACACUGGUGUCGGUGACCUCGGCCCUAAAAUGUUACCACUGCAACGACUGUGGUAACUCUAGAGGAACAGUUAUUGAUUGUGGUGAAGAUGCCGAUGUUUGCAUGAAAAUUGAUUUUGCUGGCCGUAUAGCGAAGAUUUGUGGACAAAAUAGAGUUUGCAAACUGAAAGAAAUUGAACAUGGUGCUGUCAAUGCUUGGAAUUCUGUGAAGAAUUGGUUUAGCAAUACAGGCAAG